AGAGGGUGCGAGCGUUAAUCGAAGUUACUGGGCGUAAAGGGCGCGUAGGCGGUGAGAUGGGAGUGAUGUGAAAGCCCUGGGCUUAACCUGGGAAGUGCAUCGCUAACUAUCUGACUGGAGUAUAGGAGAGGGUGGCGGAAUUUCCGGUGUAGCGGUGAAAUGCGUAGAGAUCGGAAGGAACGUCGAUGGCGAAGGCAGCCACCUGGCCUAAUACUGACGCUGAGGCGCGAAAGCGUGGGGAGCGAACAGGAUUAGAUACCCUGGUAGUCCACGCUGUAAACGAUGAGGACUAGAUGUUGGUUGGGGAACCAAUCAGUAUCGAAGCUAACGCGAUAAGUCUUCCGCCUGGGAAGUACGGCC
rnacentral:rRNA from 1 species